UAGCUCAGUUGGUAAAGUGCUUGCCUUACAUGCACAAGGCCCUGGGUUCAAUUCCCAG
rnacentral:tRNA from 1 species